rnacentral:rRNA from 1 species
GACGAACGCUGGCGGCGUGCUUAACACAUGCAAGUCGAACGGAAAGGCCCUGCUUGUGUGGUGUUCGAGAGUGGCGAACGGGUGAGUAACAUGAGUGUAACCUGCCCUUCACUUUGGGAUAACUUGAAGAAAGUGGGGCUAAUAGCGUAUAGGAGCCCCCGUCGCAGUGUGGGGGGUGGAACGUUUGGGCGGUGGGGGAUGGACUCGGGGCUUAUGAGUUUGUUGGUGGGGUAGUGGCUUACCAAGGCUUUGACGGGUAGCCGGCAUGAGAGGGGGACCGGCCACAUUGGGACUGAGAUACGGCCCAGACUCCUACGGGGGACAGCAGUGGGGAAUAUGGCACAAUGGGCGGAAGCCUGAUGAGGAAACGCCGCGUGCGGAAUGACGGCCUUCGGGUUGUAAACCGCUUUCGCCUGUGACGAAGCGUGAGUGACGGUAAUGGGUAAAGAAGCACCGGCUAACUACGUG